GCCUGCUUAGAUAGCACAGUGGUUAAUGCAUUGCACUUGUAAUGCAAAGAUCACAGGUUCAAAUCCUGUAGCAGGCA